rnacentral:rRNA from 1 species
AUUGAACGCUGGCGGCAGGCCUAACACAUGCAAGUCGAACGGCAGCACAGAAGAGCUUGCUCUUUGGGUGGCGAGUGGCGGACGGGUGAGUAACACGUAGGAAUCUACCCAGUAGUGGGGGAUAACCUGGGGAAACCCAGGCUAAUACCGCAUACGCCCUGAGGGGGAAAGCGGGGGAUCUUCGGACCUCGCGCUAUUGGAUGAGCCUGCGUCGGAUUAGCUAGUUGGUGGGGUAAGGGCCCACCAAGGCGACGAUCCGUAGCUGGUCUGAGAGGAUGACCAGUCACACCGGAACUGAGACACGGUCCGGACUCCUAUGGGAGGCAGCAGUGGGGAAUAUUGGACAAUGGGCGCAAGCCUGAUCCAGCCAUGCCGCGUGGGUGAAGAAGGCCUCGGUUGUAAGACCUUACGUGGGUAGGAGGACGAGUCAUGCUAUACCACUGGAGUGAUUGACGUUACCCGUA